rnacentral:rRNA from 1 species
CCUACGGGAGGCUGCAGUGAGGAAUAUUGGUCAAUGGGCGCGAGCCUGAACCAGCCAAGUAGCGUGAAGGAUGACUGCCCUACGGGUUGUAAACUUCUUUUAUAAAGGAAUAAAGUGAGGCAAGUGUGCCUUUUUGUAUGUACUUUAUGAAUAAGGAUCGGCUAACUCCGUGCAAGCAGCCGCGGUAAUACGGAGGAUCCGAGCGUUAUCAGGAUUUAUUGGGUUUAAAGGGAGCGUAGAUGGGUUGUUAAGUCAGUUGUGAAGGUUUGCGGCUCAACCGUAAAAUUGCAAUUGAUACUGGCAGUCCUGAGUACAGUUGGGGUAGGCGGAAUUCGUGUGGUAGCGGUGAAAUGCUU